rnacentral:rRNA from 1 species
GUGGGGAAUAUUGGACAAUGGGGGGAACCCUGAUCCAGCCAUGCCGCGUGUGUGAAGAAGGCCUUUUGGUUGUAAAGCACUUUAAGCGAGGAGGAGGCUACCGAGAUUAAUACUCUUGGAUAGUGGACGUUACUCGCAGAAUAAGCACCGGCUAACUCUGUGCCAGCAGCCGCGGUAAUACAGAGGGUGCGAGCGUUAAUCGGAUUUACUGGGCGUAAAGCGUGCGUAGGCGGCUUUUUAAGUCGGAUGUGAAAUUCCUGAGCUUAACUUAGGAAUUGCAUUCGAUACUGGAAAGCUAGAGUAUGGGAGAGGAUGGUAGAAUUCCAGGUGUAGCGGUGAAAUGCGUAGAGAUCUGGAGGAAUACCGAUGGCGAAGGCAGCCAUCUGGCCUAAUACUGACGCUGAGGUACGAAAGCAUGGGGAGCAAACAGGAUUAGAAACCCUGGUAGUCC